rnacentral:rRNA from 1 species
UAAUACGAGGGGGGCGAGCGUUGUCCGGAUUCAUUGGGUGUAAAGGGCUCGUAGGCGGGCCGAUCAGUCGGAACUUAAAUCCCACGGCUCAACCGUGGACCUGGUUUCGAUACUGUCGGUCUUGAGUUCGGUAGAGGAAAGCGGAAUUCCUGGUGUAGCGGUGAAAUGCGUAGAUAUCAGGAAGAACACCGAAGGCGAAGGCAGCUUUCUGGGCCGACACUGACGCUGAGGGGCGAAAGCGUGGGUAGCGAACAGGAUUAGAUACCCUGGUAGUCCACGCCGUAAACGAUGAGUACUUGAUGGUGGGGGAUUCGACCCCUUCACUGUCGGAGCUAACGCGUUAAGUACUCCACCUGGGGACUACGGCCGCAAGGCUG